AGGGUUUGAUUAUGGCUCAGGAUGAACGCUGGCGGCGUGCUUAACACAUGCAAGUCGAACGGGAUCCCAGGAGCUUGCUCCUGGGUGAGAGUGGCGAACGGGUGAGUAAUGCGUGACCGACCUGCCCCAUACACCGGAAUAGCUCCUGGAAACGGGUGGUAAUGCCGGAUGCUCCAGUUGGAUGCAUGUCCUUCUGGGAAAGAUUCAUCGGUAUGGGAUGGGGUCGCGUCCUAUCAGCUUGAUGGCGGGGUAACGGCCCACCAUGGCUUCGACGGGUAGCCGGCCUGAGAGGGCGACCGGCCACAUUGGGACUGAGAUACGGCCCAG
rnacentral:rRNA from 1 species